GACGAACGCUGGCGGCGUGCUUAACACAUGCAAGUCGAACGGAAAGGCCCUGCUUUUGUGGGGUGCUCGAGUGGCGAACGGGUGAGUAACACGUGAGUAACCUGCCCUUGACUUUGGGAUAACUUCAGGAAACUGGGGCUAAUACCGGAUAGGAGCUCCUGCUGCAUGGUGGGGGUUGGAAAGUUUCGGCGGUUGGGGAUGGACUCGCGGCUUAUCAGCUUGUUGGUGGGGUAGUGGCUUACCAAGGCUUUGACGGGUAGCCGGCCUGAGAGGGUGACCGGCCACAUUGGGACUGCGAUACGGCCCAGACUCCUACGGGAGGCAGCAGUGGGGAAUAUUGCACAAUGGGCGGAAGCCUGAUGCAGCAACGCCACGUGCGGGAUGACGGCCUUCGGGUUGUAAACCGCUUUCGCCUGUGACGAAGCGUGAGUGACGGUAAUGGGUAAAGAAGCACCGGCUAACUACGUG
rnacentral:rRNA from 1 species